rnacentral:rRNA from 1 species
GAUGAACGCUGGCGGCGUGCCUAAUACAUGCAAGUCGAGCGAACAGACGAGGAGCUUGCUCCUCUGACGUUAGCGGCGGACGGGUGAGUAACACGUGGAUAACCUACCUAUAAGACUGGGAUAACUUCGGGAAACCGGAGCUAAUACCGGAUAAUAUAUUGCACCGCAUGGUUCAAUAGUGAAAGACGGUUUUGCUGUCACUUAUAGAUGGAUCCGCGCCGCAUUAGCUAGUUGGUAAGGUAACGGCUUACCAAGGCAACGAUGCGUAGCCGACCUGAGAGGGUGAUCGGCCACACUGGAACUGAGACACGGUCCAGACUCCUACGGGAGGCAGCAGUAGGGAAUCUGCCGCAAUGGGCGAAAGCCUGACGGAGCAACGCCGCGUGAGUGAUGAAGGUCUUCGGAUCGUAAAACUCUGUUAUUAGGGAAGAACAAAUGUGUAAGUAACUAUGCACGUCUUGACGGUACCUAAUCAGAAAGCCACGGCUAACUACGUG